AUGUGUGACUCUUAUGUGUCUAACAGCAUCACCCCUCCCAUCACACAGACAGACAGUGACUCUGCCCUCUCAGAUCAUUUAGUUCUGAAUGUCACAAUGAUCACAGCAGGGCUGAUCAAACUCUCUGCAGCUCUGCUCUGCAUCACAGGAGUGAUCGCAGGGAGUGGGGUCACACAGACUCCUCAGGUGUGGGAGAAUGAGGGUCAGUCUGCCACCAUGACCUGCAGCCAUGAUAAAGGUGCAAGCUAUUUCCAGAUGUACUGGUUCAGACAGCGACCAGGAGAAUUAAUGCAGCAGAUCGUUUUGAGCACACCAAACCCCCCACCUCAGUACUACCAUAGCUUCCGUGAAGACAGGUUUCCUGUAAAGAAGGACCACUAUAGCAAUGGAUCUCUGACUGUGGAGAAGCUGCUGCCUGAAGACAGUGGGGUGUAUUACUGUGCUGUGAGUGAACACAGUGAUACAGACGACUCAGACAGCUCUUACAAGCCAGUUACAGUCAAGUUGUGA